rnacentral:rRNA from 1 species
CCUACGGGCGGCUGCAGUGGGGAAUAUUGGGCAAUGGGCGCAAGCCUGAACCAGCAACGCCGCGUGAAGGAAGAAGGCUCUCGGGUUGUAAACUUCUUUUUAGCGGGAAGAGCAGAAGCCGGUACCUCUUGAAUAAGCCACGGCUAACUACGUGCCAGCAGCCGCGGUAAUACGGAGGAGGCAAGCGUUGUCCGGAUUUACUGGGUGUAAAGGGCGUGCAGCCGGGAAGACAAGUCAGAUGUGAAAACCUGCGGCGCAACCGCGGGACUGCAGUUGAAACUGGUUUUCUUGAGUACCGGAGAGGUCAGCGGAAUGCCUGGUGUAGCGGUGAAAUGCGUAGAUAUAAGGAAGAACACCAGUGGCGAAGGCGGAUUACUGGACGGCUACUGACGGUGAGGCGCGAAAGCGUGGGUAUCAAACAGGAUUAGAUACCCCUGUAGUC